UGUGCGGCUGAGGAACAUCAUGUGGGCUACUUCCAAGCAUGAUGUGUACGUGAUGUAGAACUAUUCUGUGAUGCAUUGGUCGUCCUUACUCCACAAAGGAAAAGAAGUGCUCAACGUGGCAGGCCCAAAUCAGGAUAUGCAGGGAGGUCGGCCCUUGUCCAGGGGAAGAUCAGCACCAUGACGGUGAAAGACAACCUCGGCAGUGCCUUCUAGCAAGAUUUCAAUCAUAAUCUGUGCAUACUUGUUUAUGAUAUGUGUGUGCCUCCAUCAAUCCUCUUUGGCAUCAUAGGAUACAAGAUACCAAGACUAGCAGUUCUUGUCUUGCUUAUGUUUUGUGAUCUCAGCUUAUCUAAUAAAACUGGCAAUUAUAGGAUACAAGAUACCAUAACUACAUAACUGGGGUCAUUUGCGUUACUGUAGUUGUGCCGUCUGGCUAGUGGGCUAAUAUGGGAGCCACAGCAUGGCAUCCUUCUCCAUUGUAGAUCCAUUGUAUUUGCAUGCUGCUAUAUUAUGUCAAGUUGAGUGAAGCAAACA